ensembl:lncRNA
CAAAAGUCUGAGUGACUCAAUGCAAGCAUAUUUGUACUGACGAUGGACAGCCGGUGCAUUGUUUUAUCUGUACAUUGCUCAGUUUUUAAGUUAUAUAGGAAGCCUAGAAAAUGGAGUUGCUGUAACUGUGGCUAGAGAGGUUCUUCUACUCUGCAAAAAAUUCAGCAGGCCACGGUGUUGGGUACAUUAUCAUCGCUGCAGGUUGGGCACAGAGAAUAACAUGAAGAUAGAACUUCCAGAAUCUCUUCUGCCUCAGAGGCUGAGUUCUGCAGACUUCUGAAGGUGGGAGCUCUGCAUUGGGCCAAGAGAACUCUGAGGAUCUCGGAAGCAAAACCAAGACCUUUGGUUGCUGGGAACUUAUUAAAAGAGAA